AGUUAAUCAGUUAACAUAUAGGAGUGAGUUUUUUUGUGAAGAAAUCCAUGAUGUGUUUGGCUACUGUCAAAGUAAUAACUUCUAGGACGAUCUUUGUAGCUGUGGAGCUCAAAGCACUCUAUAAAUGUUAAUGGACAUUUUCACAAUACCCCUAUGAAGGAGAAGGCAGUGAGUUCUGUGAAUUUCACUGAUGUCAUUUUUCAAGGGACCAAGAAAAUGUUAACACAUCAAACCUCAGGGUCUUAGCAGUGCUUGGCCCUAAAAGGAAUGUCACAUAAUUAAGUCAAUGGCCUUUGCUGUCAAAUGGAAUGCUCCAUGUCUAUGGAUAAAAUUGCUACAAAAUUGUGGAUCUAUGAUCACAACCCUUAUCAUCAACCUUACUUGGCCACAUCUGAAAAGGAUAAGGGAGUCUCUGUCCUUCCAAUAGAGGAGAUUUCCUAGUCCGUUUUCUGCC